AUCAGCCUCCCCCUUCCAUUUUCGUUUUUUUUAUUUGUUUUGUUUGAUUUCUUCAUAACUUCAUCAAUUCUUAACCGAAUCGGACGAUUCUUGUCUUGAAAUUCGAUGGAAAUCACCAUCCGAACCCGUUCCACCGAUUAGUUUCCCUUGAAACCCUCUCUAUGGUGAGAAAAGAGCCAUAUACAGCCACAAAAUUCUUAGGAUUUUUGUGAUUUUGGAGUUGAUUUCUUGAGCCAUUGCUUGUGGAGUUCUAGGAGGAGUCUUGUGACGUAAUUGUGGGUUGUCGUACGUCAAUUUGAACACCGAACCGUGAGUCGGUGGAUUGCCCUUGGUCCUGGACCAAGUGGGAUUGAGGCGUUCUGUUGAGUAACAAACUUGGAACUUAAGCUGCUGUGGAGCUAAGUGGAGUAACAUAUUGAGGAGGUAGCAGUGGAGCCGGAGCAGCGGGCAAGAGGCCCGCAGAGUGAGCAGUGGAGUGCUUCAUAAUUUGCAUUUUGUUGGCCGUGUGGCCUAGGCUAGACUUAGGGCAUGAACAUCUCAUAUGUAUGUGGGAUGAGCUUCAUUAGCAUAU